CCUCCCCCUCAAAGAACCUGUUUGAAGCUGGGACUGCGAGUGGCAGUCAGGGAAGUGGGGUCUUCAGGGGGGCCUGGGACUGGGGGCAGGAAGAAUCCCUGGACUUGCCCCUGAGGUCCCCCCACUGCAUCCCAUGGUCCCAGCUAUAGCCUGGCCUGCAGCUGCUGUCCAUGCCCAAGUCCCACAGAAGGCCCUCCACUGACCAGUUCCAGCACCUCCAAAGUCCCCGAGGUCAAGGCCCUGUCUCCAGCUGCAAAGUCAAUGCCUGAACUCUGUCGGCCAUGCACACCUCGGCUGCGUGGGUCCUCCAGGCCCCUGGAGACACGAGGAUCUGCACCCAUGCAGGCGACAUGGCUGCCUUCUAGCCACCAAGGGUGGGGUCACCACUGCGCCGACACAGACGGCCCAUCCCCACCCCAGCUACUGUGCUCUGCAGAAAUCACCCGCAGGUCACACAGACAGAACUGCCCCUACUGCAGAUGCCGGUUGCAAGGUAGGGGGUCCCAGGCUCACACUUCUGACCAACUGGCUACAAAUCCAGGGGUUCCCGUGAUCCCCCCUCAGGCUUGACAGUUUCCGGGACUCUCAGAAUCAGGAGAGAGUUACAGUCACGAGGACUGCUUUCUUACAAAGGGCACACUCGGCUCAGAGAGGCAGGGCCUGCUCUCCGUCUCUCCUGGAGAGGGGAUUUCUAAAGGGGAGAUGGGCCUGCCUUGGUGCUGGGGCUCCGCUGGCAAGGGUGUCCAGGCUGACUCCUUGGCCUGGCUUUCAAGGCCUGUCAUGGGCGGAACGUGUGGGUCCCCCCAGUUCUGGGUUGAAGCCCUCACCUCCAUGUGACGGUGUUUGAGAUGGGGUCUUUGGGAGGCAGUUAGGGUCGGAUCCUGAGGCUGGGGCCCAUGAUGGGAUGAGGGCCCUUACAGGAAGAGGAAGAGUGACAUCAGCCACGCCCCCAGCCUGUGCCCAGAAAAGGCCACGUGAGGACACAGCCAGGGACAGUGUCUGCAGCCCGGGAAGCUGCCCUCUCCAGGAACUGAGCCGCCGGAGCCUUGAUCCUGGACUUCCGGCCUCCGGAACUGUAAGGAAUAGUCUGUUGCUGCAGCUGCCUGUCUGCGGGUUCUGUGGGGGCAGCCCACGCUGUCUGAGAC
rnacentral:lncRNA from 1 species